rnacentral:snoRNA from 1 species
UUUCUGUGAUGAUGAACGUUAGACAUAUUACACAUGUUACACUUCGGAGAUGGAUCCUAUCGAUGAGAACAAACUAUCAUUCCGAACACGAG